AACCUGGCUUUUCUAAAAGCCACCCACUCCUUGAGAAAGGUUAUC
rfam:Saprolegnia parasitica CBS 223.65 unplaced genomic scaffold supercont2.64, whole genome shotgun sequence.